rnacentral:rRNA from 1 species
CCUACGGGAGGCAGCAGUGAGGAAUAUUGGUCAAUGGGCGAGAGCCUGAACCAGCCAAGUCGCGUGAGGGAAGACGGUCCUAUGGAUUGUAAACCUCUUUUGUCGGGGAGCAAAAAGGCCUCGUGAGGCCACAAGUGAGAGUACCCGAAGAAAAAGCAUCGGCUAACUCCGUGCCAGCAGCCGCGGUAAUACGGAGGAUGCGAGCGUUAGUCGGAUUUAUUGGGUUUAAAGGUUGCGUAGGCGGACUGGAAAGUCAGCGGUAAAAUCGAGCGGCUGAACCGCUUUCCGCGGGUGAAACUGGCGGGCGGGAGUGGGCGAGAAGGAGGCGGAAUGCGUGGGGUAGCGGUGAAAUGCAUAGAGAGCACGCAGAA